GAUGAAGAACGUAGCGAAAUGCGAUAAGUAAUGUGAAUUGCAGAAUUCAGUGAAUCAUCGAAUCUUUGAACGCACAUUGCGCCCGCCAGUAUUCUGGCGGGCAUGCCUGUUCGAGCGUCAUUACAACCCUCAGGCCCCCGGGCCUGGCGUUGGGGAUCGGCGGAAGCCCCCUGCGGGCACAACGCCGUCCCCCCAAAUACAGUGGCGGUCCCGCCGCAGCUUCCAUUGCGUAGUAGCUAACACCUCGCAACUGGAGAGCGGCGCGGCCACGCCGUAAAACACCCAACUUCUGAAUGUUGACCUCGAAUCAGGUAGGAAUACCCGCUGAACUUAAGCAUAUCAAUAAGCGGAGGA
rnacentral:misc_RNA from 1 species